AAGAGGUUGGGAUCGCCGGCGCCAAACAUGUCCCAGCUGUCGAAGCCCACAUACUUCUUCCACUGCUUGAACCACCGGCUCUCCACCAGGAAAAGCAAUCAGGAAUUGUCCAAAAAAAGUGACACAGGUGUUUUGUAUGCCGUUAUGGGAUGCAGCCAGAGUGCUCAGACAUGGAUUGUCAUCAGUACCUGGACUCCCUCCUACCCAGCCCAGCGAGGAGGCUCUCAGCUCAGCAGCAGCUGCUGUAAACACCAGUGUGAGCAUGGAGAUGCCCACUGCUGUUCCCUGGCCUUUCCUCCCCAGGAGCAGCACAAUCUGCUCUCCAGCAUGGCUGCAGCACAGGGCCCACACCUUGAGCCCAGCCGGUGCUGCAGGGCUUGAAGGCGUCCUUCAUGCAAUGCCAUGGCAAACACCCUGCCUCGUGCAACCUCUGCCACUGCUCCAGUGCAGCCCAGCUGCUGCAAACCAUCAUAUGCUCCCACAGCAACACUGCAUCUGCUCCUCCCUUCCUCCUACACAGCCUCCUCCUGCUCAGGACUGACAAAUCCAGCUCAAGUGAUGCACUCUCAUCUCGCUGAGUAUCAAAAGCUCCUGGGAAGCUUUGCUGCUCGCUGUGGGGGCCAGGUGAGAUAUUGCAACUCGGCUCUGCUGCAGCGUUUGGAAAGCACUGCAAGCUGCAGAUGGGUAUCCUUUGCUGGGAAAUAAAAAUAAGUAUUAAAGCACUUGUAACUGCUCA